UGGGGAAUAUUGGGCAAUGGGCGAAAGCCUGACCCAGCGACGCCGCGUGAGGGAAGAAGGUCUUCGGAUUGUAAACCUCUUUCAGCAGGGAAGAAGGAAGUGACGGUACCUGCAGAAGAAGCCACGGCUAACUACGUGCCAGCAGCCGCGGUAAUACGUAGGUGGCAAGCGUUAUCCGGAAUUAUUGGGUGUAAAGGGUGUGUAGGCGGGACUUUAAGUCAGACGUGAAAAUCAAAGGCUCAACCUUUGACCUGCGUUUGAAACUGGAGUUCUUGAGAGUGGGAGAGGUAAACGGAAUUCCUGGUGUAGCGGUGAAAUGCGUAGAUAUCAGGAGGAACACCGGUGGCGAAGGCGGUUUACUGGACCACAACUGACGCUGAGACACGAAAGCGUGGGGAGCAAACAGG
rnacentral:rRNA from 1 species